CUACGGAAGGUCUGGGCGUUAUCCGGAUUUAUUGGGUUUAAAGGGAGCGCAGGCGGAGAUGCAAGCGUGACGUCAAAUUUCGGGGCUCAACCCCGUCUCGCGUCGCGAACUGCGUCCCUUGGUUGCGGGAAGGGGAGGCGGAACUCGUGGUGUAGCGGUGAAAUGCAUAGAUAUCACGAAUAACUCCGAUCGCGAAGGCAGCCUUCCGGCCCGUCAACGACGCUCAUGCUCGAAGGUGCGGGUAUCAAACAGGAUUAGAGUCCCUGGUAGUCCGCACAGUAAACGAUGGACACCCGCGGUUUGGCCUGUAUGGCUGAGCCGCCAAGCGAAAGCGUUAAGUGUCCCACCUGGGGAGUACGCCGGCAACGGUGAAACUCAAAUGAAUUGGCGGGG
rnacentral:rRNA from 1 species